AGAAGAAGAAGAGAGAGAGAGAGAUCAAGGAAAAGAGGGAGAGAGAGAGAGAGUUUGUAUUCAUUAAUCUUGACUGGAUCCAAUUACAGCCCAAAGAGUUCUAUUUAUCUAGUAAUUUAUUACAGAUUCAAUUUUGCAACAGGUGGGCUGAGAUGGUCUAAAUGGUCCUAGGCCUUUGAGGGUCUAUUCCAGAAGAAAGACAACAUAGGUAGUAAGGGAAAUGGAUGCUGAGCUGGAGAAUUUUGGUACCAACAAUCUGUUAAGAGGAGGAGCUGGAAACGGUUAUGCAGCAGUGCAUUUGAAGGGAAGGAAUAUGCAGUAGCACUUUUGAAGGAAGGAAUCUAUAUAGAUGGAAUAAUGGGGAGGAGAGAGCAUGCUUUUCUGGUUAUUGACUUUUGCAAACGGCUAUUAAGCUGGGCUAGAAUUCUUUCUUAAGUUUACUAGAGAACCAAUUAUUUCUUUCAUCUUUUGGUUGUAUUUGAUGUUUUUUAUGUUAUGUUUCCCAUUUAAAGUUCAAUCAAAGAAAGUUGCCAAAGUUGUUUAUUUCCAUUCUCUUCCUAUUUUGUUUUAUUUCAAAUUCCUAACUCUAUCAAAUUGGUUUGACCUGGUGGAUGCCACAAAUGAGGAUGG
rnacentral:misc_RNA from 1 species